rnacentral:rRNA from 1 species
UACAGAGGAUGCAAGCGUUAUCCGGAAUGAUUGGGCGUAAAGCGUCUGUAGGUGGUUUUUAAAGUCUUCUGUCAAAGAUCAGGGCUUAACCCUGAGCCGGCAGAAGAAACUUUAAGGCUUGAGUUCGGUAGGGGCAGAGGGAAUUCCCGGUGUAGCGGUGAAAUGCGUAGAUAUCGGGAAGAACACCAAUGGCGAAAGCGCUCUGCUGGGCCGUAACUGACACUGAGAGACGAAAGCUAGGGGAGCAAACAGG